UGUGAAAGUUCAUCUACAAAGAGCUCUGAAAGCAAGUUCAGCUGGAGAGAGCACCUGGCAAAUGUUAACAGCUCCUGAUGAUCAGAAGACUAGCACCCUCGGAUACUAUUUUCCAGAGAUUGCUGCAGCAGAAGUCAAACUAUUCAUCAGCACAUUUGAAGAAGCCCAUAUUCAGGCUGCUCCCUUUGCCUCUUCUCAAAAGAACAUGAGUAUGAAGAAAACUGUUCAAAAGCCUA